UGGGGAAUAUUGGACAAUGGGCGCAAGCCUGAUCCAGCCAUGCCGCGUGAGUGAUGAAGGCCCUAGGGUUGUAAAGCUCUUUCACCGGUGAAGAUAAUGACGGUAACCGGAGAAGAAGCCCCGGCUAACUUCGUGCCAGCAGCCGCGGUAAUACGAAGGGGGCUAGCGUUGUUCGGAUUUAUUGGGCGUAAAGCGCACGUAGGCGGACUUUUAAGUCAGGGGUGAAAUCCCGGGGCUCAACCCCGGAACUGCCUUUGAUACUGGAAGUCUUGAGUAUGGUAGAGGUGAGUGGAAUUCCGAGUGUAGAGGUGAAAUUCGUAGAUAUUCGGAGGAACACCAGUGGCGAAGGCGGCUCACUGGACCAUUACUGACGCUGAGGUGCGAAAGCGUGGGGAGCAAACAGG
rnacentral:rRNA from 1 species